UUCUUAUUCUGCAGUGAUCAUUUGAUUGGAAGAGCUGAGGUUUAAGCAAAGACAUGAAUUAAACAGCAGAACUGGCAUUCAAUUCUGGAAGCUGGUAAAAAGUGUUUCUGUUUGCAGAGUAGAUGUCCGGAUUAGCUACUAUUCCUUAGGCAGCAGGCACUGCAGUUUAUCCUCCAAGCAAGAUGUUUUCCCUGCGAUAGAAAACUUGUGCUUUACCACUUUCCUGAGUGUACCUUGAAACAAUGAGGCCUUCCCUAGAGAGAAUGCCUGACUUUGGUAAGCUACUGCCAUGAAAAACUUG
rnacentral:lncRNA from 1 species